rnacentral:rRNA from 1 species
GUAUCAUGGCUCAGGAUAAACGCUGGCGGCGCACAUAAGACAUGCAAGUCGAACGGACUUAAUCGAAAUAUUUAUAUUUUGAAGCGGUUAGUGGCGGACUGGUGAGUAACGCGUAAGGAACCUGCCUAUUAGAGGGGAAUAACAGGUGAGAAAUCAUUGCUAACUACCGCAUAUGCCAUAGAUAUCACAUGAUAACAGUGGGAAAGGUAGCAAUCCGCUAAUAGAUGGCCUUGCG